GGCAAAUCUCAUUAGUGUGUUUUGCCCCUAAAUUAAUUAAUUCUCUCUCUCUCUCUCUCUCUCUCUCUCUAUCUGGUUUGGUCACUUAGCAUAUAUCAUGGAUAUUCAUGCGUACUCAGAUUUUAGAUUAUACGACGCCUAGUGUAUGGAGGUUGGACACUCUGGGUUUAUUCAAGGGAGUUGAGGGCUUGAUUGUUGUGAUUUUUGACCGCUGAGAGCUAAAGGGAAGCCAAGAUGGAUGGUUGGAAGUGCAGAGAACAAGGUGUCACACUUGAUUCAAUUGGAUUCCGGAACACGUGUAUGGGCGAUGCGCCGUUUUGUUUAACUUUGUCAGAUUCAAAGAUGGAAAGCUUGCGAAUGAGAUGGCUUUCGGUGGCUGAGAUUCUUUAUGCUGUGCCCACCAAGUUGGAUGAUUCCUCCUCAUUGUCAGGACAUGCUAAUUUUAAUGGCGAGCAUAUGCGAAUGCCCAUAAUGGUUUUCAUUCAUCAAAACAAACAGAUCGAAUUUGCCAUGCCUUUUUGAGCAAUCUAAAGAUACCAAAUGCUCAGCUCCUUGGAGUUUACCCCUUCACCACUUACCAUCAUCCCUGGAUGAUGUACCCAAGUAUGCAUUGCGGAGGAUAGUAUAUAUGUUGCACAUUUUGUACACAAUUAUGUAAAUGUAUGCAUGCAUAUGCAUGUUUCUAUGUGCGUGUGUACUUAUAUUAUAAACAAAUAUCCACGUUUGCCCCAUGCAUAUUUUAUAGGAGAUGAUAGUUCCCAGC